GACGAACGCUGGCGGCGUGCUUAACACAUGCAAGUCGAACGGAAAGGCCCUGCUUUUGUGGGGUGCUCGAGUGGCGAACGGGUGAGUAACACGUGAGUAACCUGCCCUUAACUUUGGGAUAACUUCAGGAAACUGGGGCUAAUACCGGAUAGGAGCUCCUGCUGCAUGGUGGGGGUUGGAAAGUUUCGGCGGUUGGGGAUGGACUCGCGGCUUAUCAGCUUGUUGGUGGGGUAGUGGCUUACCAAGGCUUUGACGGGUAGCCGGCCUGAGAGGGUGACCGGCCACAUUGGGACUGAGAUACGGCCCAGACUCCUACGGGAGGCAGCAGUGGGGAAUAUUGCACAAUGGGCGGAAGCCUGAUGCAGCAACGCCGCGUGCGGGAUGACGGCCUUCGGGUUGUAAACCGCUUUCGCCUAUGACGAAGCGUGAGUGACGGUAAUGGGUAAAGAAGCACCGGCUAACUACGUG
rnacentral:rRNA from 1 species